rnacentral:misc_RNA from 1 species
GAUGAAGAACGUAGCGAAAUGCGAUAAGUAAUGUGAAUUGCAGAAUUCAGUGAAUCAUCGAAUCUUUGAACGCACAUUGCGCCCCUUGGUAUUCCGGGGGGCAUGCCUGUUCGAGCGUCAUUAUAACCCUCAAGCCUAGCUUGGUGUUGGAGCAUGCUAUCUAGCAGCUCUUAAAAUCAGUGGCAGUGCCCUUCGGCUCUAAGCGUAGUAACUUCUCUCGCUAUGGAAACCGGAUGGUACGCGCCAAAACCCCCAACUUUCUAUGGUUGACCUCGGAUCAGGUAGGGAUACCCGCUGAACUUAAGCAUAUCAAUAAGCGGAGGA